UUUUUUUUCUUUUUGGUCUUUUUGCUAUUUCUUGGGCCGCUCCUGCAGCACAUGGAGGUUCCCAGGCUAGGAGUCGAAUCAGAGCUGUAGCCACCGGCCUACGCCAGAGCCACAGCAAUGCAGCCCGAGCUGUGUCUGCAACCUACACCACAGCUCACAGCAACGCUGGAUCGUUAACCCACUGAGCAAGGGCAGGGACCGAACCCGAAACCUUGUGGUUCCUAGUUGGAUUCGUUAACCACUGCGCCACGACGGGAACUCCUAAAUGUGAUUUUUAAACAGACUGUUUUGUUUGUGUAGUUGUAGUAAAAUAGCCCUGACUGUGCAUUUGUAUAAUGUGUUCUGUUUUGCAAGACAGCGAAGAUUGUAGGUAUUUUUAUCGAAUAGUCAGAAUGAUAGCUUUUUGCAAUUGGCAUUGACACCCCUACCUUGCACAUUGCAUGGAGAAACUGAUGGAACAGAGAAAUUAGGUAAUUUUUUUUUCAGUCAGCCACUGAUCUGGGAGUACAACCCAGAUCCACCCAGCUGGGACUGGUUCCUUUUCACUGUACGGUCCUGCCUGAAGAGGCUUAGGAUCCUUGGCGACAUCAUAUAUUGUAUCUCUGUUUUUUUUCUUUUCUUUUUAGGAUUGCACCCUCAGCAUAUGGAAGUUCCCAGGCUAGGGGUUCAAUCGGAGCUGUAGCUGCCAGCCUACGCCAGAGCCACAGCAACUCGGGAUCCGAGCCGUGUCUGCAACCUUCACCACAGCUCACGGCAACGCCGGAUCCUUAACCCACUGAGCAAGGCCAGGGAUGGAACCCGCAACGUCAUGGUUCCUGGUCAGAUUAACCACUGCGCCACGAUGGGAACUCCUAUUUGUGAAGCUUACUCAGUGGUCCAGGAUGCAAUUUCCCAUCAUCUUGUCUGUGCCUCUGUAUCAUUUACCUAAAUCCAAAAGAUGGGAAACUAAGGACCUUCCCCAAACUCUGGACUAUGAUAGUAGACAUCCCUGGCAGUAAAACAUGUUCUGGAAUCAAGAAAUGUUUGUGAUUUUUACCAGACUGCAGGCCCUUUUGAAUUCCCUACAACUUUAAAUUUCAUAUUCUUAAUGCAAGACUGUGCAAAGCAGUUUAGAAAACAAUACAAAGUUUUAGUAAAUUAAGGCAGUGUUUUGUUUUCUCCCGUCUCCUACUUAUUGCAUGUUCUUUUUCCCUUGCCAAUGAGGAGCAAGCUCAGCCAGAUGCAUACAGGGCUAACCAAUGGGUUCAUGUUCUAGAAGUAGAAUUUUCUUCUCUGAUUCAAACUCCCUAGUAAAAAAUUAUACUUUAUAUAGUUUUCUUAUCGUCACCCCAAAGGCACACAGAAGAAACUAGAGGAGAGUUUUCUGGAAGGACACAUCUGGUUCCUUUGUGUAAAUUUCAGUUGCUGUCUGUAAAAAUGUUUCAGCUUGCAAAAAACCUGGCUCAGUAUCAGACUUCACUUGAAUGUAGCAGUGAUUGGAGAGGAAAGGUCAUGUAGGGCAAGAUCCUGUAUAGGAACAUAGUCUUCCACUGAAGUAUCUCCUUGGUCUCACCAAGCCUCAAUUUCCUCUUCACUAAAGAUAAAGUAAAAGAGUGACCUUCACUUUGCUGUACAGCAGAAAUUGGCAGAGCAUUGUAAAUCAACUAUAAUAGAAAAAUAAAAAUCUUUAAAAAAGGAGUGGACCUUGAGCUAGUCAGGGUCUUGGAUACAACAUCAAAAGCACAAGUAAUUAAAUAAAGAUAAGUUGGCCCUCAUCAAAAUUCAAACAUUUUGAACUUCAAAAGACACCAUUAACACAUGCAAAACAAACCACAGAUUCGAAGAAAAAAA
ensembl:lncRNA